rnacentral:rRNA from 1 species
GGGGUAUAGUUCUUCGGAAMUAGAGACCGGCGCACGGGUGCGUAACGCGUAUGCAAUCUACCUUUUACAGAGGGAUAGCCCAGAGAAAUUUGGAUUAAUACCUCAUAGUAUARCAGWWUSGCAUGAAACCACUAUUAAAGUCACAACGGUAAAAGAUGAGCAUGCGUCCCAUUAGCUAGUUGGUAAGGUAACGGCUUACCAAGGCUACGAUGGGUAGGGGUCCUGAGAGGGAGAUCCCCCACACUGGUACUGAGACACGGACCAGACUCCUACGGGAGGCAGCAGUGAGGAAUAUUGGACAAUGGGCGCAAGCCUGAUCCAGCCAUGCCGCGUGCAGGAUGACGGUCCUAUGGAUUGUAAACUGCUUUUAUACGAGAAGAAACACUCCGACGUGUCGGAGCUUGACGGUAUCGUAAGAAUAAGGAUCGGCUAACUCCGUGCCAGCAGCCGCGGUAAUACGGAGGAUCCAAGCGUUAUCCGGAAUCAUUGGGUUUAAAGGGUCCGUAGGCGGUUUAAUAAGUCAGUGGUGAAAGCCCAUCGCUCAACGGUGGAACGGCCAUUGAUACUGUUAGACUUGAAUUAUUAGGAAGUAACUAGAAUAUGUAGUGUAGCGGUGAAAUGCUUAGAGAUUACAUGGAAUACCAAUUGCGAAGGCAGGUUACUACUAAUGGAUUGACGCUGAUGGACGAAAGCGUGGGUAGCGAACAGGAUUAGAUACCCUGGUAGUCCACGCCGUAAACGAUGGAUACUAGCUGUUGGAAGCAAUUUCAGUGGCUAAGCGAAAGUGAUAAGUAUCCCACCUGGGGAGUACGUUCGCAAGAAUGAAACUCAAAGGAAUUGACGGGGGCCCGCACAAGCGGUGGAGCAUGUGGUUUAAUUCGAUGAUACGCGAGGAACCUUACCAAGGCUUAAAUGUAGAUUGACCGGUUUGGAAACAGAUCUUUCGCAAGACAAUUUACAAGGUGCUGCAUGGUUGUCGUCAGCUCGUGCCGUGAGGUGUCAGGUUAAGUCCUAUAACGAGCGCAACCCCUGUUGUUAGUUGCCAGCGAGUCAUGUCGGGAACUCUAACAAGACUGCCAGUGCAAACUGUGAGGAAGGUGGGGAUGACGUCAAAUCAUCACGGCCCUUACGCCUUGGGCUACACACGUGCUACAAUGGCCGGUACAGAGAGCAGCCACUGGGCGACCAGGAGCGAAUCUAUAAAACCGGUCACAGUUCGGAUCGGAGUCUGCAACUCGACUCCGUGAAGCUGGAAUCGCUAG